AUCCCAUGAUGAGGACAUUUCCUAAGCAAAUCCUUAAACUUUUCCCAAGCCUCAAAUAAAGCUUCAUCUUCAGUUUUCUAAAAGUAAGUGAUGUUAUUCCUUUUUUC